UACGGGAGGCAGCAGUGGGGAAUAUUGCACAAUGGGCGCAAGCCUGAUGCAGCCAUGCCGCGUGUAUGAAGAAGGCCUUCGGGUUGUAAAGUACUUUCAGCAGUGAGGAAGGUAGUGUAGUUAACACCUGCAUUAUUUGACGUUACCUACAGAAGAAGCACCGGCUAACUCCGUGCCAGCAGCCGCGGUAAUACGGAGGGUGCGAGCGUUAAUCGGAAUUACUGGGCGUAAAGCGCAUGCAGGCGGCCUGUUAAGUCAGAUGUGAAAGCCCGGGGCUUAACCUCGGAAUUGCAUUUGAAACUGGCAGGCUAGAGUCUUGUAGAGGGGGUAGAAUUUCAGGUGUAGCGGUGAAAUGCGUAGAGAUCUGAAGGAAUACCAGUGGCGAAGGCGGCCCCCUGGACAAAGACUGACGCUCAGAUGCGAAAGCGUGGGGAGCAAACAGGAUUAGAUACCCUGGUAG
rnacentral:rRNA from 1 species